UACGUAGGGUGCGAGCGUUAAUCGGAAUUACUGGGCGUAAAGCGUGCGCAGGCGGCGCGUUAAGACAGGUGUGAAAGCCCCGAGCUUAACUUGGGAAUUGCGCUUGUGACUGGCGUGCUGGAGUGUGGCAGAGGGAGGUGGAAUUCCACGUGUAGCAGUGAAAUGCGUAGAGAUCAUGAGGAAGACCAGUGGCGAAGGCGGGUCUCUGGACAGUUCCUGACACUGAGGCACGAAGGCCAGGGGAGCAAACGGG
rnacentral:rRNA from 1 species